GCAUUGCCACAUAUUUUCCAUAUUUUCCAAGAUACAAUUUUUAUGCUAGAAAAUUUUCAUUUUUGAUCUCGUAUUCUUAACAUUAGUUCAAUUUAAAUAUAAAGUUGUACCAUUUCUCAUAAAUUUUAGUAAAAUAUUUUAUCUAUUUCCUUCACUUAUUUAUCUUAAUUCAUUUUCGUCUUUUUAGUUUUUUGGUUUUGUGUUUUGUUGAUCUAUUUAGUCGUGUCGGAAUUCGAUUGUUUUUAAAGGAUGUGCUCUUAU
rnacentral:lncRNA from 1 species